GAUGAACGCUGGCGGCGUGCCUAAUACAUGCAAGUCGAGCGAACAGACGAGGAGCUUGCUCCUCUGACGUUAGCGGCGGACGGGUGAGUAACACGUGGAUAACCUACCUAUAAGACUGGGAUAACUUCGGAAAACCGGAGCUACUACCGGAUAAUAUAUUGAACCGCAUGGUUCAAUAGUGAAAGACGGUUUUGCUGUCACUUAUAGAUGGAUCCGCGCCUCAUUAGCUAGUUGGUAAGGUAACGGCUUACCAAGGCAACGAUGCGUAGCCGACCUGAGAGGGUGAUCGGCCACACUGGAACUGAGACACGGUCCAGACUACUACGGGAGGCAGCAGUAGGGAAUCUUCCGCAAUGGGCGAAAGCCUGACGGAGCAACGCCGCGUGAAUGAUGAAGGUCUUCGGAUCGUAAAACUCUGUUAUUAGGGAAGAACAAAUGUGUAAGUAACUAUGCACGUCUUGACGGUACCUAAUCAGAAAGCCACGGCUAACUACGUG
rnacentral:rRNA from 1 species